AUGGCCGAGGGCCGGCGCUACGGGAUCGCGCCGCAGCUAGACAUGGAGCAGAUACUGAAGGAGGCUCAGACCCGAUGGUUACGCCCUACUGAGAUUUGCGAAAUACUUAAGAAUUACAGGAAUUUCCGUAUAGCUCCAGAGCCACCAAAUAUGCCUGCAAGUGGUUCACUUUUCUUGUUUGAUCGGAAGGUAUUGAGAUUUUUUAGGAAGGAUGGCCAUAAUUGGAGGAAGAAAAAGGAUGGAAAGACUGUCAAAGAAGCCCAUGAAAGAUUAAAAUCUGGAAGCAUCGAUGUGCUUCAUUGCUACUAUGCUCAUGGGGAAGAGAAUAUAAACUUCCAGAGGAGGAGCUAUUGGAUGCUGGAGGAGGACUAUAUGCACAUUGUCCUUGUACAUUAUCUCGAAGUCAAGGCUGGAAAAUCAAGUUCUCGUACUAGGGGGCAUGAUAACAUGCUACAAGGGGCCUAUGUUGAUAGCCCUUUAAGCCACUUGCCUUCACAAAGUACAGACGGUGAAAGCUCACUUAGCGGACGCGCCUCUGAAUACGAGGCAGAAUCAGCAGAUAUUUAUUCGGGAGGAGCCGGAUACCACUCUAUCUCUAGGAUGCAGCAGCAUGAAAAUGGAGGUGGAUCCAUAAUUGAUGCUUCUGUUGUCAGCUCAUACAGUCCUGCAUCAUCUGUAGGUAAUCAUCAAGGAUUACAGGCUACAUCACCUAAUACGGGCUUCUAUUCUCAUUAUCAAGAUAACUCACCUGUGAUUCAUAACGAGUCCACUUUUGGAAUUACAUUCAAUGGGCCCAGUACUCAAUUUGACCUGUCAUCAUGGAAUGAAAUGACGAAACUGAAUAAAGAGAUCCAUCAAUUGCCUCCAUACCAGUCUCAUGUUCCUUCUGAGCAGCCUCCUUUUACAGAAGGCCCUGGAAUAGAAUCUUUCAGUUUUGAUGAAGUAUAUAGCAAUGGGCUGGAUAUCAAGGAUGAUGGUCAUGCAGACACUGAUAGAGAAGCACUGUGGCAGCUUCCAAGUGCUAAUGAUGGUACGACUACUGAAUUUCUUCAGCUUCCAAGUGCUAUUGAUGGCAGGACUACUGAAUUUCAGCUUCCAAGUGCUACUGAUAGUACAUUUGCUACAGUGGACAAUUUUGAACAACACAGUAAACUUUUGGAGGAAGCCAUUAAUUUCCCUGUCCUGAAAACUCAAUCAUCUAAUCUUUCUGAUAUCCUGAAGAACAGCUUUAAGAAAAGUGAUAGUUUUACUAGAUGGAUGAGCAAAGAACUUGCUGAAGUAGAUGAUUCCCAAGUAAAGUUCAGUUCUGGAUUGUACUGGAACAGUGAAGAUGCUGACAAUAUCAUUGGAGCAUCGAGCCGUGAUCAGUUGGAUCAGUUUACUCUGGACCCAAUGGUUGCACAAGAUCAGCUGUUUAGUAUAACUGAAUAUUUUCCAAGCUGGACAUAUGCAGGUUCGAAGACUAGGGUUCUUGUUACUGGUAGAUUCCUAACUUCUGACGAAGUUAUAAAGCUCAAGUGGUCGUGUAUGUUUGGAGAAGUCGAAGUUCCAGCAGAUAUUUUAGCAGACGGGACUCUCAGGUGCUAUUCUCCCUCGCACAAACCUGGCAGGGUCCCUUUUUAUGUGACUUGCUCCAACAGGUUAGCCUGCAGUGAAGUACGAGAGUUUGAAUAUCGACCAAGUGAUUCUCAAUACAUGGAUGCUCCAAGUCCACAUGGUGCUACAAACAAAAUAUAUCUCCAGGCGCGUCUUGAUGAAUUAUUGUCUUUGGGACGAGAUCAGCAAGAUGAGUUCCAGGCAGCUUUAUCUAACCCCACAAAGGAGUUGAUUGAUUUGAACAAGAAGAUAACCUCAUUGAUGACAAACAAUGAUCAGUGGUCUGAAUUGCUAAAGUUCGCUGAUGAUAAUCAGCUUGCCCCUGAUGAUAGGCAGGAUCAGUUUGUUGAAAGCGGUAUCAAAGAAAAGCUGCAUAUCUGGCUUCUCCAUAAAGCAGGAGGUGGUGGCAAAGGUCCCAGUGUGUUAGAUGAUGAAGGGCAGGGCAUUCUUCAUCUGGCAGCUGCUCUAGGAUAUGAUUGGGCGAUAAGGCCAACAAUAACUGCUGGUGUAAGCAUAAAUUUCAGAGAUGUUCAUGGAUGGACCGCACUUCACUGGGCAGCAUUUUGUGGCAGAGAGCGAACAGUUGUUGCUCUUAUAGCAUUAGGUGCGGCUCCUGGAGCUUUGACGGAUCCAAGGCCUGAUUUCCCUUCAGGACGCACACCAGCUGAUCUUGCGUCGUUCAAUGGGCACAAGGGAAUUUCUGGUUUCCUGGCAGAGUUUUCUUUAACAAGCCAUCUUCAAACCCUCAACCUGAAGGAAGCCAUGGGGAGCAAUGCAUCAGAGAUAUCUGGCCUACCUGGUAUUGGAGAUGUUACCGGAAGAACUGCGUCACCAUCAGCAGGUCAAGGUCUUCAGGCUGGAUCGAUGGGAGAUUCACUAGGUGCUGUGCGGAAUGCUGCCCAGGCUGCUGCUCGGAUAUAUCAAGUUUUCAGGGUGCAGUCCUUCCAGAGAAAGCAAGCAGUUCAGUAUGAGGAUGACAAUGGUGUGAUAUCAGAUGAACGUGCCAUGUCACUCUUGUCUUAUAAACCAUCUAAACCAGGACAGUUCGAUCCCAUGCAUGCUGCUGCAACUCGAAUACAAAACAAAUUCCGUGGAUGGAAGGGAAGAAAAGAAUUUUUGCUUAUUAGACAGCGAAUUGUCAAGAUCCAGGCUCAUGUGCGAGGUCACCAAGUGAGAAAGCAUUAUCGCAAAAUAAUUUGGUCUGUCGGGAUAGUGGAGAAGGUUAUAUUGCGAUGGAGGCGGCGAGGAGCUGGGUUACGCGGGUUUCGGUCUACAGAAGUUGCAACAGACAGCAGCACUAGUAGCAGCAGCGUUGAUGUAAUCCCAGUUAAACCUGCAGAGGAUGAUUAUAACUUCUUGCAAGAAGGACGGAAGCAAACUGAAGAAAGACUGCAGAGAGCUCUUGCCAGAGUGAAGUCCAUGGUUCAGUACCCCGAAGCCCGGGACCAGUAUCAGAGGAUUAUGACUGUCGUAACAAAAAUGCAGGAAUCGCAGCCUGUGGAAGAAAGUAUGCUUGAGGAGUCGACGGAGAUGGAUGAAGGCUUUUUGAUGAGUGAAUUCAAAGAGCUCUGGGACGAUGACAUGCCGUUGCCGGGCUAUUUCUAG
rnacentral:rRNA from 1 species